UGGGGAAUAUUCCGCAAUGGGGGCAACCCUGACGGAGCAAUACCGCGUGGGGGAGGACGGCCUUUGGGUUGUAAACCCCUUUUCUCAGGGAAGAACACAAUGACGGUACCUGAGGAAUCAGCCUCGGCUAACUCCGUGCCAGCAGCCGCGGUAAGACGGAGGAGGCAAGCGUUAUCCGGAAUCAUUGGGCGUAAAGCGUCCGCAGGUGGCCCAUCAAGUCUGCUGUUAAAGCCCAGGGCUCAACCCUGGAUCAGCAGUGGAAACUGGUGAGCUUAGAGAGCGGUAGGGGUAGAGGGAAUUCCCGGUGUAGCGGUGAAAUGCGUAGAGAUCGGGAAGAACACCAGUGGCGAAAGCGCUCUACUGGACCGCAACUGACACUGAGGGACGAAAGCUAGGGGAG
rnacentral:rRNA from 1 species